rnacentral:tRNA from 1 species
GGGGGCGUAGCUCAGUUGGCAGAGCAACGGACUUUUAAUCCGUAGGUCACAGGUUCGAAUCCUGUCGCCCUCA